rnacentral:ribozyme from 17 species
UUUUUUUUUUUUUUUUUUUUUUUUUUUUUUUUUGAGAUAGCAAACAAGAGUUCUACUAAGUUAUUUUUAAAGUUGAUUCAAUAGUCUUUUUGUCUUGCUCGUUUCUAUCUCGUCCCAAAAAAAAAAAGAAGACACAAGUUUCCAAAGUCGUCUUCUUUUUUUACUGCAUGUGCCACACCACUUCUCUGAAUAUUAUAUUAUUUUAUUUUCAAUGGAUAGUAGAUAGAUAGAGUGUGGCACACACGAACAUAUAUAUAUAUU